rnacentral:SRP_RNA from 1 species
GCUGGGCAUAGUGGCGGGUGCCUGUAAUCCCAGCUACUUGGGAGGCUGAGGCGGGAGAAUCGCUUGAACCUGGGAGGCGGAGGUUGCAGUGAGCCAAGAUUGAGCCACUGCACUCUAGCCCAGGUGACAGAGCGAGACUCCAUCUCAA